UACCACCCUUUAAUGUUUGAUGUUCUAACGUGGAUCCGUAAUCCGGGUUGCGGACAGUGUCUGGUGGGUAGUUUGACUGGGGCGGUCUCCUCCUAAAGAGUAACGGAGGAGCACGAAGGUUGGCUAAUCCUGGUCGGACAUCAGGAGGUUAGUGCAAUGGCAUAAGCCAGCUUGACUGCGAGCGUGACGGCGCGAGCAGGUGCGAAAGCAGGUCAUAGUGAUCCGGUGGUUCUGAAUGGAAGGGCCAUCGCUCAACGGAUAAAAGGUACUCCGGGGAUAACAGGCUGAUACCGCCCAAGAGUUCAUAUCGACGGCGGUGUUUGGCACCUCGAUGUCGGCUCAUCACAUCCUGGGGCUGAAGUAGGUCCCAAGGGUAUGGCUGUUCGCCAUUUAAAGUGGUACGCGAGCUGGGUUUAGAACGUCGUGAGACAGUUCGGUCCCUAUCUGCCGUGGGCGCUGGAGAACUGAGGGGGGCUGCUCCUAGUACGAGAGGACCGGAGUGGACGCAUCACUGGUGUUCGGGUUGUCAUGCCAAUGGCACUGCCCGGUAGCUAAAUGCGGAAGAGAUAAGUGCUGAAAGCAUCUAAGCACGAAACUUGCCCCGA
rnacentral:rRNA from 2 species